AGACUGGGAAGUCCAAGAUCAAGGUGCUGGCAGAUUCAGUGUCUGAUUCUCCUGGUCUCAUCUGUCCUUGCCGCCAAGAUGGAUUAUCUGCAGGAACUUGGACCAACUUCACGGAACCUUCCUUAUGUUCUGUUCAUACUGCCCAGACCUGCCCUGGCUUCCCUGUUGCUCCUGAGGCAGAAGAGGCCUUUGGACUUACUCGGCCCCACAUCUGUACAGUCCAGAGAUGCUGGGGGAAUUAACACCACAAAAGGUUGACUUUAGAUCAAUGUGAGACAAGUAUUUCAACUAUGAUUGUGUAUUUGUCAGUGCCUCUUUGUAAUUCUGUGAGUUUUUUCCUUCAUUUAUUUGAUAACAUACUGUAUAAUAAUGCACAUUUUAAAUUCUCAUGUCUUCCUGGUUAACAUUUUUAUUUAGUCCUAAUGUCGUGGGCUUCUUUGCUGGGGAUUAUGGUGUCAGCAUCCUUUUAGGGAUCAUUUUUCUGCCUACCACAACUAUGAUUAACUUUUUGCCAACAAUUUUGAGAAUAUAGGUGAAGUGUGUAUUUUCUUGGGAAAAAUCUGGUUGCUUAUUUUAAUUGGUAAUACAGUAACACUUCCUUUUUGUUGAUUCUUGAUCUGGGAUGUAAACAUUUCUUCUUUCAGUGUUCAAAUUUUCUUGUCAUUUCAU
ensembl:lncRNA novel transcript